rnacentral:rRNA from 1 species
GACGGGUGGUAAAUUCCAUCUAAAGCUAAAUACGGGCGAGAGACCGAUAGCGAACAAGUACCGUGAGGGAAAGAUGAAAAGAACUUUGGAAAGAGAGUUAAACAGUACGUGAAAUUGCUGAAAGGGAAACGCUUGAUGUCAGUCGCGUGGGCCGGGGAUCAACCUUUGCACUUUUUCGCUGGGUGUACUUCCCGGUCGACGGGUCAGCAUCAGUUUCGGUCGCCAUACAAGGGCGAGGGGAAUGUGGCACCCUUCUGGGGUGUGUUAUAGCCUUUCGUCGCAUGUGGUGCUCGAGACUGAGGAACUCAGCACGGCUUUUCAGCAGUGUGCUUUUAGGAUGCUGGCAUAAUGGCCUUAAGCGACCCGUCUUGAAACACGGACCAAGGAGUCUAACAUGCCUGCGAGUGUUUGGGUGCCAAACCCGAGCGCGUAAUGAAAGUGAACGUUGAGACCUCUGUCGUGGAGGGCACCGACGCCCGGACCUGAGUC